UAGGGAAUCUUCCGCAAUGGGCGAAAGCCUGACGGAGCAACGCCGCGUGAGUGAUGAAGGUCUUCGGAUCGUAAAACUCUGUUAUUAGGGAAGAACAAAUGUGUAAGUAACUAUGCACGUCUUGACGGUACCUAAUCAGAAAGCCACGGCUAACUACGUGCCAGCAGCCGCGGUAAUACGUAGGUGGCAAGCGUUAUCCGGAAUUAUUGGGCGUAAAGCGCGCGUAGGCGGUUUUUUAAGUCUGAUGUGAAAGCCCACGGCUCAACCGUGGAGGGUCAUUGGAAACUGGAAAACUUGAGUGCAGAAGAGGAAAGUGGAAUUCCAUGUGUAGCGGUGAAAUGCGCAGAGAUAUGGAGGAACCCCAGUGGCGAAGGCGACUUUCUGGUCUGUAACUGACGCUGAUGUGCGAAAGCGUGGGGAUCAAACAGG
rnacentral:rRNA from 1 species